rnacentral:rRNA from 1 species
GAUGAACGCUGGCGGCGUGCCUAACACAUGCAAGUCGAACGGAAUCUUCGGAUUUAGUGGCGGACGGGUGAGUAACGCGUGAGAAUCUGCCUUUAGGUUCGGGACAACAGUUGGAAACGACUGCUAAUACCGAAUGUGCCGUUUCGGUGAAAGAUUAAUUGCCUAAAGAUGAGCUCGCGUCCGAUUAGCUAGUUGGAGUGGUAAAAGCACACCAAGGCGACGAUCGGUAGCUGGUCUGAGAGGAUGAUCAGCCACAUUGGGACUGAGACACGGCCCAAACUCCUACGGGAGGCAGCAGUGGGGGAAUUUUCCGCAAUGGGCGAAAGCCUGACGGAGCAACGCCGCGUGAGGGAGGAAGGCUCUUGGGUUGUAAACCUCUUUUCUCAAGGAAGAUAAUGACGGUACUUGAGGAAUCAGCAUCGGCUAACUCCGUGCCAGCAGCCGCGGUAAU